ACAGUCAAACUUAUGGUACAUACCCUCAAGGUACCACCCUCUAGGUACCAUGACAGUCAAACUUGUGGUACAUACCCUCAAGGUACCACCCCAUAGGUACCAUGACAGUCAAACUUGUGGUACAUACCCUCAAGGUACCACCCUCAAGGUACCAUAACAGUCAAACUUAUGGUACAUACCCUCAAGGUACCACCCUCUAGGUACCAUGACAGUCAAACUUAUGGUACAUACCCUCAAGGCACCAUGACCUUCAAACUUUCAAGGUACCUAUCCUGGGGGUCCCACUAGAUGCAACCAUGACAUCAUGACUUUGAUGACAUAUACAAUGAGGAACUAACGGAGCCAUA